AUCCUGAGGGCACAGACCAGACCUGGGGACCUUCUUCCUGGUGACCAUCUGUCACCCACUUCCCAAGAGUCCCCUUUAGCAGCUCCAGUCAAGAGCUUAGAGUCAAAAGCCUAGAAACAUUCCAUUUUUUUAAAGACUCCCACAUACACAAAUAAGAUCGUCAUCAAUGGUCGGGAGACCCCUGGGACCCCUUCACAUGGCAACGUGAUAAUGCGAAGUCUAAAGAAAUCUCCAAUACACAGAUCCAUUUAAAAAUCUCACUUCCAAAAGAAACUCUCGACUUAUAGUGCGGAUGACAAAGCCAUCAGAGGCAGUUACCAUGAGGUUGCAGGACAGGACUUCCAUGUUCCAAAGUGACCAGACCAGACCAGACUAGCUUGUGGGUUUUAGGGACUCGGAUGAUGUGUCUGUGCUGACUAUUUGUUUCCAGUACCUUCCAGGUUCUCGAUCCAGCUUACACUGGAGGAAUGAAAAAGCUCUGAAAAGCUGUCUCUGAAGACAGAAGGCUUUAGUAACAAAGGCAGGUCAAGAACUGGACCUGAGGAAGGCUGGCUGGCUCUCUGUUCCCAGGAAGAACUCCUCAAAGCACAAGGGCUCAAGCGUCGAGUGCCGCCUUUGUAUCUGGCAACAUGGGAAAAGGCUUGUGAGAGAAUGUUACUUGAUAAAGGCGACAUCAUAACUACAGAUCUUUCUCAACUUACACUGGGGAUACGUCUUGAUAAGCCCGUGAAGGAGCGAGGCACUGAUCAUCCACGCGUUCUACUUCAGGCAGCUGCACCUAAUUUCACUCCAGGGUCAUCACCCCUUCCUUAUCCCUAGUCUGUAUUUUGAGAUAUUUCGAGAUGUUCAUUUCAUUC